GGGGAAUAUUGCACAAUGGGCGCAAGCCUGAUGCAGCGACGCCGCGUGCGGGAUGACGGCCUUCGGGUUGUAAACCGCUUUUGAUCGGGAGCAAGCCUUCGGGUGAGUGUACCUUUCGAAUAAGCACCGGCUAACUACGUGCCAGCAGCCGCGGUAAUACGUAGGGUGCAAGCGUUAUCCGGAAUUAUUGGGCGUAAAGGGCUCGUAGGCGGUUCGUCGCGUCCGGUGUGAAAGUCCAUCGCUUAACGGUGGAUCUGCGCCGGGUACGGGCGGGCUGGAGUGCGGUAGGGGAGACUGGAAUUCCCGGUGUAACGGUGGAAUGUGUAGAUAUCGGGAAGAACACCAAUGGCGAAGGCAGGUCUCUGGGCCGUUACUGACGCUGAGGAGCGAAAGCGUGGGGAGCGAACAGGAUUAGAUACCCUGGUAGUCCACGCCGUAAACGGUGGAUGCUGGAUGUGGGGCCCGUUCCACGGGUUCCGUGUCGGAGCUAACGCGUUAAGCAUCCCGCCUGGGGAGUACGGCCGCAAGGCUAAAACUCAAAGAAAUUGACGGGGGCCCGCACAAGCGGCGGAGCAUGCGGAUUAAUUCGAUGCAACGCGAAGAACCUUACCUGGGCUUGACAUGUUCCCGACAGCCGUAGAGAUAUGGCCUCCCUUCGGGGCGGGUUCACAGGUGGUGCAUGGUCGUCGUCAGCUCGUGUCGUGAGAUGUUGGGUUAAGUCCCGCAACGAGCGCAACCCUCGCCCUGUGUUGCCAGCACGUCAUGGUGGGAACUCACGGGGGACCGCCGGGGUCAACUCGGAGGAAGGUGGGGAUGACGUCAGAUCAUCAUGCCCCUUACGUCCAGGGCUUCACGCAUGCUACAAUGGCCGGUACAACGGGAUGCGACACGGCGACGUGGAGCGGAUCCCUGAAAACCGGUCUCAGUUCGGAUUGGAGUCUGCAACCCGACUCCAUGAAGGCGGAGUCGCUAGUAAUCGCGGAUCAGCAACGCCGCGGUGAAUGCGUUCCCG
rnacentral:rRNA from 1 species